UGGAGGAGGCCACUAGAUGUUAUAAGCUGAGCAGUGGAGGAGGCUCUGAGAUGGAGGAGGCCACUAGAUGUUAUAAGCUGAGCAGUGGAGGAGGCUCUGAGAUGGAGGAGGCCACUAGAUCCAAAGAACAGGAAACCUUUGGGUUGAGAACAAAACAAGUUGACAGUUUCAGCAGUUUUGUCCCUUAUAAAUCCCCUUCUUUGUGGCAAAAAAAUAAAAAGAGAGAGAUUAAAAGCAACAAUACAAAAAGGCAGAAAUAAUUUAUAAUGCUUCAACUACACAUGAAACUAACUACUACAUGAGAUACAAAACUAAAUCAGAAACAAACAGACCUGCGAAACAGUUACCUUCAUAGACACACAGCUGAACUAACAAACAGACGUGGACACGUGUCUAAAAGCCUCAUACUAUCUGUUAAUUUUUAUCUCUCAUUAUUCUACUCCCUUUAGAUAAUAUAAUUACUUCCAGAAUGGAACAUACAGAGUUCCCUCACUUAUUCGCUCUUUGCGGAUUCACUGUUUUGCGGUUUUUCAAUAACCUCUAAAAGACGACUAUAAAUAAUAAAAAAUUACAAUGUACAGCCUAAGGAAGGGAGGAAGGAGAUGCCGAAGGGAGAGAAAAGGAGCCCAAGCGGCAACAAGAGGAGAAGGAGGCGAUUGAUCAACACAUGAUUUCUUGAUAAAGACUUAAAAUAGUGUAUAACUACUAAAAUAAUGUAUAAAUAUAUAGCAUCCCUACUUUGCGGAUUUUCAUUUAUUGUGGGUGGUCCUGGAACCUAACCCCCGGGAUAAGUGAGGGAACACUGUAUUUUAGUUCAAUCUUUCUACAAUACACCACAUGUGAUGAAAUGUCCCAACUUUGAGCCUGCAUUUCCAAAAUUGGCAAGAGUUGCUUUUGUACAUGUUAGAAUGACACUCUGAGGUCAAUUAACAUCAUUCUCUCCAGGGUGAAUUCUAUGACGUCUAUGUAUAAUGUUAUUCAGUGAAAAGCUCUGUCCACACUCCAGGCAUUUCUGUGGUUUCUCCCCAGUGUGAGUCUUUUGAUGUGAACGUAAAGUUCCACUCUGAGCAAAGCUCUGUCCACACUCCAGGCAUUUAUAAGGUUUCUCCCCAGUGUGAAUCCUUUGAUGUAAAUGUAAGUGUCCCUUCUGAGUAAAGCUCUGUCCACACUCAAGGCAUGUAUAGGGUUUCUCUCCAGUGUGAGUCCUUUGAUGUGAAUGUAAGUGUCCCUUCUGAGCAAAGCUCUGUCCACACUCCUUGCAGUUAUAGGGUUUUUCCCCAGUGUGAGUCCUUUGAUGUGAAUGUAGACCUGAACUCUGAGUGAAGCUCUGUCCACACUCAAGGCAAUUAUAGGGUUUCUCCCCACUGUGAGUCCUUUGAUGUGAAUGUAAACUGAACUAUGAGUGAAGCUCUGUCCACACUCCAGGCAGUUAUAGGGAUCUCCCCCAGUGUGAGUCCGUUG
rnacentral:lncRNA from 1 species